rnacentral:rRNA from 1 species
UUUGCGUCGAAGGUAUACCGGUAAGGAGUGCUGGAGCGAAUAGAAGUGAGCAUGCAGGCAUGAGUAGCGAUAAUUAAUGUGAGAAUCAUUAACGCCGUAAACCCAAGGUUUCCUACGCGAUGCUCGUCAUCGUAGGGUUAGUCGGGUCCUAAGUCGAGUCCGAAAGGGGUAGACGAUGGCAAAUUGGUUAAUAUUCCAAUACCAACAUUAGUGUGCGAUGGAAGGACGCUUAGGGCUAAGGGGGCUAGCGGAUGGAAGUGCUAGUCUAAGGUCGUAGGAGGUUAUACAGGCAAAUCCGUAUAACAAUACUCCGAGAACUGAAAGGCUUUUUGAAGUCUUCGGAUGGAUAGAAGAACCCCUGAUGCCGUCGAGCCAAGAAAAGUUUCUAAGUUUAGCUAAUGUUGCCCGUACCGUAAACCGACACAGGUGGGUGGGAUGAGUAUUCUAAGGCGCGUGGAAGAACUCUCUUUAAGGAACUCUGCAAAAUAGCACCGUAUCUUCGGUAUAAGGUGUGGUUAGCUUUGUAUUAGGAUUUACUCCGAAAGCAAGGAAACUUACAACAAAGAGUCCCUCCCGACUGUUUACCAAAAACACAGCACUCUGCUAACUCGUAAGAGGAUGUAUAGGGUGUGACGCCUGCCCGGUGCUCGAAGGUUAAUUGAUGGGGUUAGCAUUAGCGAAGCUCUUGAUCGAAGCCCGAGUAAACGGCGGCCGUAACUAUAACGGUCCUAAGGUAGCGAAAUUCCUUGUCGGUUAAAUACCGACCUGCAUGAAUGGCGUAACGAGAUGGGAGCUGUCUCAAAGAGGGAUCCAGUGAAAUUGUAGUGGAGGUGAAAAUUCCUCCUACCCGCGGCAAGACGGAAAGACCCCGUGGACCUUUACUACAGCUUGACACUGCUACUUGGAUAAGAAUGUGCAGGAUAGGUGGGAGGCUUUGAGUAUAUGACGCCAGUUGUAUAUGAGCCAUUGUUGAGAUACCACUCUUUCUUAUUUGGGUAGCUAACCAGCUUGAGUUAUCCUCAAGUGGGACAAUGUCUGGUGGGUAGUUUGACUGGGGCGGUCGCCUCCCAAAUAAUAACGGAGGCUUACAAAGGUUGGCUCAGAACGGUUGGAAAUCGUUCGUAGAGUAUAAAGGUAUAAGCCAGCUUAACUGCAAGACAUACAAGUCAAGCAGAGACGAAAGUCGGUCUUAGUGAUCCGGUGGUUCUGUGUGGAAGGGCCAUCGCUCAAAGGAUAAAAGGUACCCCGGGGAUAACAGGCUGAUCUCCCCCAAGAGCUCACAUCGACGGGGAGGUUUGGCACCUCGAUGUCGGCUCAUCGCAUCCUGGGGCUGGAGCAGGUCCCAAGGGUAUGGCUGUUCGCCAUUUAAAGCGGUACGCGAGCUGGGUUCAGAACGUCGUGAGACAGUUCGGUCCCUAUCUGCCGUGGGCGUAAGAAGAUUGAAGAGAUUUGACCCUAGUACGAGAGGAC